GGCAUUGUCUAUACCAUGGCAGAAUGUUUUGUAACUUACCUUUGCAAUCAUGCCCUCAUGUCGUGAAGAUGAAUUGGUAUAACCCUCAUUGGUUUUAGUGGCUUUAGCAUUACUCUGCAGAUAUGAUGGUUGCAUCUUGUAAUUAACCAUAGUUUCAAAACAAUAACAAGAUCUUAGAUUCAAUACUUGUUAAUAAAAUAUAAAUGAAAUAAACACUGCAUCACCUGCACUGUAGUUUUGGGAGGCUGAGCUUUAGCACUGGAUUCUUCAAGGUUUUCGUCAGAAUGAUGCUCAUCAUUACCAUUAGAAUCACACUAAAUAUCAUUAUCG
rnacentral:lncRNA from 1 species